GCACGAGCGAACAUAGGUCGCGUAGGCUAACUCCGAAGUGCCGGCUUGUAGGGAGCGACCCUCACAAGCAUGUGCGAAUGAGCACAAAUGGCAAGCAAGCAUAGUCCAAGUCUCAAGUGUCCAACCCUCAUGUCUCUAACAUGGUAUAGUCACUAGCAUCUUGAAGAUCUAGUUCUAAGUCACAAAUGAAGUUCCAACAUUCUCUAGGUCUAGUGCCCCUUUAUGACACUUAGACAUUUAAUGUUUAAGCAUGUUCCACAUUCCUCAAUGGCCCU
rnacentral:lncRNA from 1 species